UGCCUUGGAGAGGGGAAUAACACUCCGAAAGGAGUGCUAAUACCGCAUGAUGCAGUUGGGGUCGGCNUGGCUCUGACUGCCAAAGAUUUAUCGCUCUGAGAUGGCCUCGCGUCUGAUUAGCUAGUAGGCGGGGGUAACGGGCCCACCUAGGCGACGAUCAGUAGCCGGACUGAGAGGUUGACCGGCCACAUUGGGACUGAGACACGGCCCAGACUCCUACGGGAGGCAGCAUG
rnacentral:rRNA from 1 species